AAGUCGUAACAAGGUUUCCGUAGGUGAACCUGCGGAAGGAUCAUUACCGAAUUGUCGACACGAGUUGUUGCUGGCCCUCGAAGGGGGGCACGUGCACGCUCUGUUUACACAUCCACUCGCACCCGUGCACCCUCUGUAGUUCUAUGGCCUGGGGGACACUGUCCCCUUGCUGUGGUCCUACGUUUUUACACACACACCGUAAUAAAGUCUUAUGGAAUGCAUGUCGCGUUUAACGCAAUACAAUACAACUUUCAGCAACGGAUCUCUUGGCUUUCGCAUCGAUGAAGAACGCAGCGAAAUGCGAUAAGUAAUGUGAAUUGCAGAAUUCAGUGAAUCAUCGAAUCUUUGAACGCACCUUGCGCCCUUUGGCUAUUCUGAAGGGCAUGCCUGUUUGAGUAUCAUGAACACCUCAACUCUCGUGGUUUGCCAUGAUGAGCUUGGACUUUGGGGGUCUUGCUGGCCUACGGUCGGCUCCUCUUAAAUGAAUCAGCUUGCCAGUGUUUGGUGGCAUCACAGGUGUGAUAACUAUCUACGCUUGUGGUUUUCUGCCAGGUAACCUUCAGUGAUGGAGGUUCGCUGGGGCUCACAAAUGUCUCUCCUCAGCGAGGACAGCUUUUUAACGUUUGAUCUCAAAUCAGGUAGGACUACCCGCUGAACUUAA
rnacentral:rRNA from 1 species